rnacentral:rRNA from 1 species
ACACGACUACAUUAGAUACCCGUGUAGUCCUAGCCGUAAACGAUACUCGCUAGGUGUCGGCCACGGUGCGACCGUUGUCGGUGCCGUAGGGAAGCCGUGAAGCGAGCCACCUGGGAAGUACGGCCGCAAGGCUGAAACUUAAAGGAAUUAGCGGGGGAGCACAACAACGGGUGGAGCUUGCGGUUUAAUUGGAUUCAACGCCGGAAAUCUUACCGGGACCGACAGCAACAUGAAGGCCAAGCUGAAGACUUUGCCGGAUUAGCUG